rnacentral:lncRNA from 1 species
UGAUUAUGCUCAGUCUCAGCUCUCAGCUAGUCUCAGCUCUCCUAUGGAGUUUUGUCGAACUGGUAUCAACGUUGCUUGUUGAGUUGGUGAUCGAUAAGUCCAAAAUAAUCAUCUAAAUUCAUGGUCGGGACUCGGGAGUAUUUACCAUCUAUCAGAAAAGGCUGUUGACUUGCAAACGUAUACAGUUUCUAGUCUCGCGUCAUCAAUUCUAUCACUAGCUAGUAAUUACCACUGAAUCGAGUGAGCGAAACAACCAAAAUUUUAGGCAUACAUUAAUAGAUCGAAUUAGAAAUCAAAUGAACAGUCUGGUCUAUAAAUUGCCCUGGCAUGCAUAGUACUACAAGUAGGUAUGCCUUACCUCACUUACUAAAUUGGCAUUGCAGACAUUGGCCCCAGUCUUUCCCUAGCUGUCCUUCUAUAAGAUUUGGAGAACAGAGCUAGGAUUAAUUCUCAUUGCGGCCAGCAGCCGGCCGGACAUCGCAGCUAGGUUUAUAUGGCCGGUUGAAUGAGAUCAGAAAAUGUUUCGCGGGGAUCGACAAUCUUCUGCGUUUGCCUUUAGUAUGCAUAUGCAAAUGCAGCUAGCUACUAGCUCCUCCAUGAAUGUUUCUCUCUCUCCAUCUUUCUAGCAAGUUUUCCAGUCGAUCGAUUUAGUAUUCAUAUAUUGACAUAUGAGAGCUUGAUAGUUAUGCAUAUGCAUUGACCUUUCAUUAACGGUGGACCUUACUCCAAAAGGGAUAAAAUACGAUGGCCGGAUUCCAUAAAAUACGAUGAACUUCUAUAGAAAUAGAAGAGGUACGUACAUACAAGUUACAUCAGCAAACUACCUAUGCAAUUAAAGAACGUGGACACGAACCUUACUCUAUCUUCCUCUGCUUUUGAACAAGUAGACCGAAGAAACAAAUUUGGAAGAAGCAAAUACAAAACCGGCCCGAUCAUAAAGAUGUGCCGCAUUAUUCCAUGAAAGUUAAAGAUCAGGCAAGCAUGCAUUGAUGCAUACUAUUAUUAUUACAUGAAGAUAUAUAUAGUUACAUGCUUAUUAAAAUGUUCAACGAAAUUGAUAGUACUGGUCGAUCUGGCAGGAGAUCUGCAGUAGUGUCUGUGCUUGUGGUUAUGCUUAUAGGUAAUUUGGUAUCCUUACUCCUUAGCACCCUUAAGAUUUUCGCUCUCAAGUGGAAAGAGCUCCAGAGUUUGAUUUGCUCUACUACUUUCUUCGAAUUCUCCUCUGUAAACAUUGGUUGCAGUCAAUACCAUACCGUAAUCAUAAUCAUAAUAGUGAUGAAAGUCCAAGAGCUUUGGACAAACAAAUGUAGCUGACGCAUUUGUGUCUGAUGCCGGUCCAGGUGAAUCGGAUUGCUUCACAAGUUGCCUGGAUGAAUUGCUUUUCACCAUGCUCAUCAUCAUCCUCUCUUGCAGUAUUGAAGAUGAUUCCUGAGGACAUACAGUAACGAUUGAAACUCAUGCAUAUAUCACGCAUUCAAUAUUUCUAUAUUUUCUUAAGAUUUUUGGUUUACCUGAUCAGAGAGAAUAGUGAAGUUGUUUGGUAGAAUCCACUUAUUCUGCUGCUCAUCUUCAAGAGGAAGAACCAAGUCAACUGCAAGUAAACAAUGUCCAUAAUUUGUUAUAAUCUCUCAAUUAAUUUUUUCCCACCUAGUCAACUAGUAAGUUUUGAGCCCUAGCCCCCCAUUACCUGGGGAGGGAGCCAUAUAUGUGUCCAACCAGAGAUUGCAUGCAUGUUAAUAAUAAAAAACGUGCUAAUUAAUUGGUACCUCCUGCAGAUCCUUUGUCCUGGAGACUGCUAACCGUGUUGUUACUCAAGUUUUGUUGUUGUUCUUUGGAGUCAGACUGAUACAUGGACAUGAGUUCACGGCGUCUGAUCUUCUGCCUCUCCCUGGCUCGGUGGUUCUGAAACCAGUAGAACACAUUCUUGCCUUCAAUCCUCCCAAAGUUUCGAAGCUGCGCAGUCAGCUGUCGGAUUUGUUGGGCCGUCGGUGUCUUUAACCCAUGUCGAUACAGCUCUUCCAGAGCCAUUAGCUGAUGCGGGGUUGGACUCCAUCGGGAAUUUCGCCAAGGAACUGCAGACUUCGGUUGUUUAUUACUAUAACAACAACUUCUGCCUUGCUCAGACGACGUCACUGGAAUCACUGCAUACAUAGUGAUCAUAUUAUUAUACCUACCCACAGAAAUGACAGAACAAUAAUCACACUAUCAAAGUAUACAAGGUUCAUGUACGUACUCUGAUAAUGGUCGUCGUUGAAUGGUACCAUAGGGUUCUGGGUCAUGUUGGAAGUAGAGUUUUGGUCUGGAGUGAGUAGAGGCUGAAGAUUUGCAGGUUUGAUGGAGUAGUCAGGGAGAUCCCUACUAUUGUGUAUUUUAGGGUCUUGGCUACACCCCUUCAUCAUCCACAUCACUGAUAAUUAUUGAAACGAGGAUGUAUAUAUAUGGUUAAGUAGACAAUUUGAAUCAUAUGAACAAAGAUGGUAAGGGGAUGGAGCUAGAGAGUGAAGCAUGCAUGCAUGUAUAUAUGCACCAUAGUUAUUAUAUAUGAAGAAGCAGUCGACAUACGCACGUAUAUACGUUAUAAUUUUUUUCCACAUUUAUUCUCUUUUAUAUGAUUAUAUAAUUAUAUCUCUUGGCCACUCCCAGCAACUACGUACGUCAGCUGCUGUUCUUCUCUGAUCGACAACUUUACAUAUUUGAUUAUCGCUUGACAUGGGAUGACCAGUGAUGAAACCAGGAUCGCAAGCUUAUUUAAAUUACUGUUAAAUUAUUUUUCUCAUUUGAAGAACUCGCUAAUUAAAUAACUUUAGCUUUUAUCUCAAAGAUUUGAACACAUGCACAUUCCAAAUAAUAGGGUAAAAGUUAUAAAUAACCCUCACAGUUUGGGGUCAUGGUUACAUUCGUCACCAUGGUUUAAAAAUGAUUAAUUUUGAUCCUCGUGUUUUAUAUAUCGACUAAUUAUAGUCCAAUGAUAACAUUUUGUCUAACACCGUUAAUGAGGCGCGCACAUGUUGAGGCAAUUUAUCUAUAAAAUAAUGAAUGAAAAUAACCAUAAAUUCUAACACCCACAAUCAUAAUAAAGUUAAUAGGCAGUAUGAUUUAUCCCAGAUAUUUGCAUUGGAACUCAACCCUUUGUGCGAUUAAGAUGUAAAAUUUAAAACCAUUAUUCAUCUAUCAAAGUGCAAAAAAGUCAUUAGAUUUAAAAUUUUGGGGGCGGAUCUGUGACAUACAAGAUUAUAAUCAAAAUUAUAACCAUAAUAUCAUCUAUUAGAUCCAAUAACAACUAACGGUUAAGAUUAGUCAUAAAAUUAAUUUUUUUUUUCUUUAAUUCAAUUUAUGAAAUCUAUCUAAAUAAAAAUUGAUGAUUACUAUUCUCCAUUUGGAAUAUAAUUAAGAGGAAAUAAUUUGUUUCCUAUUGAAACUCGUUUACUAGAGAGAAAAGAAAACAAAUUAAGUCUCCAAUCUAGUACGUGCAUCUUAGACGUACUCAUUUUAGCUUAUUGUUAUUCAUAGCACAAGAUGAUACGAGUAUUUCCAUACAUAAUCUGAUUAUAAGUUUUCAAACGUGUUAUGACAGACAUCAUUUGAUAAUUUUUUUUCUUUGAAGAAAAAGAGGUAGAUGAUGAUAUAUAGUACUCUCUAGUAAAUGAGUUUCAUCUGAUAUUUAUUUUUUUCUUUUUUUAUCUAGUAAAUGGGUUUCAAUAGAAAACCAUUAACUUUCUUAAUUGUAUUUCAAAAUGAGAGUAGGUAAUCAUCAAUUUUCAUUAUGUUUUUAAUCAAUAGAUUUUCUUAAUUGAUUUAAAUAAAUUGAAAAGAAAAGAAAAAAUAUUUAGUUUUAUGACUUAUCUCAACCGUUAGUUGUUAAUAUAUUUAAUGGCUGAUAUUCUUGUUAUAAUUUUGAUUAUAAUCUUGUAUGUCACGGAUCCGUCCUCUAAAAUUUUAUAUGAUCUGGUUUGAUUCUAGUACGUAUUCGAUAUUCUCCAUAAUUUCAUACAAAACUUUGGCAAUUUGUAAAAAAGGUCAAAAGUAUUAUGGGGAAGUGAAAGGAAGUGAGAAUUUGGAAGAUUAAUUUGAUCAACAAGACAAAAAACAAGGAUAAGAUGAAGAAAUAAUUUCUUUUAAUACGCCAUGACAAUUAUGCCUAGGUUUUGGGAGUUCUUCCUUAUUCUUAGUAAUUUGUUUUUUCAUUUUCCUUAUAAUUCUAUUUAACUUUUAUUUUUUUGUUUGAUAAAAAAUGUAUAAGACAUAAUUAUCUCAUGAUGUCGGCGUAAGAAUUUUAUUAACGGUGUUAGACAAAAUGUUAUCAUUGGACUAUGAUUAGUCGAUAUAUAUAUAUAUAAAACAUGAGGAACAAAAUUAAUCUUUUUUAAACCACGAUAAUAAACAUAACCAUGACUCCAAACCACAAGUACCAUUUAUAACCUUUACCCCAAAUAAUAUUUAGCCGAGCUCAAUAUCGAUGAUAAAGGACAAAUUUAAGUAACUUGGCCACAAUUACAUAAAGGAAUUGAUUAAUACACCACUAAAUUAGUAGUAAAUUAAUGUAAAUUGACCAAUCAAACUUAAUAACAAUACCAAAACAAACAAAACGUGUGCAGUUGCCUGGUUAGGGUGGGAGUUCACUUGGUUGCAUUAUUUUAUAGCCAAAAUAUCAUUGAAUUGGAAGAGUCUCGAAUUGGAAACUAAAUGGCCAUCACCUUCAUUGGACCCCUUCGUACCGUAUGACGUUAUCCCGGAUGACAUCACCGCCAUAAUAUAAUUGGCAAUAAUUGAAGACCAUCUUUUUUAUCGAUGAAAAUUGAAGACCAUCUUUAUGAUUUCAAGUGUAUCCUAGCUAACUACUGACAGUAUACGACUUUUAAUUUCUGGAUUAAUUGAUGCGCUAGCCAGCUCGAUCGUCUGUGCUUCUCUCGAUCAUCUUCUUCAAUACGACUCUUCUCUGCCUCCUCCUCAAAUCUGAGAAUCUGGGGAGAGUAAUUUUCAAUUUAAGUCUCGAUCGGAUCCAUUCCAUCCCCGUGAACGCCAUAAACGUCGAGCACAUGCUGGCUGCGUUCGUUGCAACCCUAAUCCAACUAAUUAGCACAUUGAUCCUCACAUUCACUUUUAAUUCUGAUCGAGCUAAUACUAUAAUAGACCAGAUCAUGUCCCUCCUGAUUGGAUUCCCUCCGGUUUGAUUUGAUUGAGCAACGGACUGUUCACGUACUGUUUGUUCUUCUCGAUCUUUCUCAUCAUUAAUGUACGUUCAUCAAGGACUACUUUCCCUGCUGAAGGGGUGAGUUCUCGAAUACGCCGGGAGUAACUUCAACCAGUGCGAGACCUGGAAUAUCAGUAAAACAAACAGACCGUUAUCGGUAUAAUGGUUAGACCGGUACGGUUAAAAAAGACUCGGAUCCUGGAGCCGGCAUUUCUGUCCCUCCAUAAUAGUUGUGUGGCCGAAGAUUCCUUAGUGUGUAUGUUUUUCUGUUGAGCAAAUUUUCGAUAAAUAUCCUGGAGAGGCAUUUCUGUCCGUCCAUAAUGCUUAUUGUUUUGUUGUAGCUAGCUAGCUUGGCGGGGGAUAUAGCUACUCACCAAGUCACUGUAAUACAAAUGAUCGAUCGAUGAUAUGAUAUUUGAUAUUUCAUUCAGUCGACCUGUUGGUAGUUGAUCAGUAUUAUUAACACGCCUCCCACGUUCCUCCAUAUUAUGCAGAUUUCGCCAUAACUUUGCUGUCCCUAGCUCGCAAGCUCAACACGUUCCUCCAGAUAAUAUAUGCGGAUCGAUUUCGCUGUAACUUUUGCUGUCCCUAGCUCGCAAGCUCAACACGUACGUACGAACACUGUAGUUUUUCCGUUAAUAACCUCUCCGAUUAAAUCUCAUUAUGAUGACAUUGGGGCCAGUACGCCUCCGAUCAGCUGCUGUUCCUCCUCGAUCUCUGAUCCUUCACACAAUUGAUUAUUUUUCAGAUCAUUACUAUUGAACAUAGACGAUCGAUCGGAUGACAUCACCGCCAUGAAUAUUUGUCAAUAAUGCGAUACCAUCAUUAUGGUUUCAUUUGAAUCUAUACUAGCUAGCUAGCCAGCUACAUUUAGAAUGAACCAAGUAUAGGCUUUUGGAUAAAACCAUAGGCUUUAACUACGACUGAAAGUUGACACAUCUCUGAGUUGCAUAAAGAUCAGACUGAGGGUCGUGAUCGAACCCUUACCUCACUAGGUCAGAUUUUUGCCCUAAUUGUGGCUUGGUAUCAUGGUAUGCAUAUCCAGCUACUAGUUCCUCCAUGGAUAUUUCUCUCGCGAUCUCAAUAAUUUACAAUCAUUGAUGAUUUUCAAACAAUUUUCCAAUUAAUGGAACUCGAAAAAUACCUUGUUAAGAUGUCAAAGAGGGUAUCAACCAUCCGUAGAGUUUGUUAAUUAGAGAAUUUAGUUACAUAUGAGUUUAUAUAAUUCUGCAAGAGAUCCAUUAAUCCGAUCCAACUCUGUUUUCAGAAUAAGUCAUUAUCAGUUUCCUCCGGUGUCUCUCGAUUGUACAUGAGAGCUUAGAGAAAGCCUGAAGAAAAUGUAUCAAACUGAGAGAAAAUGGAAACUCUUACAGUCUUACUCGUAUUAUGGUGGAACUAAUGACAGAUGCAAGUGUUAGGGCUCAGUAUUGAUUUAUUAUCUAUAGUAGACUAUUACAUAUUGAUGACUAGCUUACUGACACAGAUAAGACAGAUUAAGCUACUAACAUGGUCGCCGAUCACUUUGCUAAAUUAGACCGAACUUAUUCUCAAAAUUGUAUAUAUAGUACUUUAUCCUUGUUAAUUACUGUUUGAUUAAGCCUCGUAUAAGAUCCUAAUGGAAUCUUUGUAAUUUUGUAUCUUACUUUAAAAAAGAAAAAAGAUUAAGCUAGAAAUGAUCAUUGGGCUAAUUAAUUAAGCUAGAUUAAGCAGCAGUGUCAUGACAGAUUAGGGCAAAUUAAUUAAGCUAAUUAACUAAUCACUACAGUUAACACUUUAUCUUCUUUCUUCGUUUUUUUUGGCUUUGUUCUCAGCUUUGUUCCGGGCUUCUUCUUCUUCUUCUUCUUCUUCUUCUUCUCUCUCUCUCUCUCUCUGCAGUUCUGGAAUUCUAAAUUACCACUGCUCCUUUUAAGCCGAAAUGCAUAAUGGCCUUGCUUGUUUCGAUUAUGCUCACUCGGGGCUCUUGGACGGCUCUAUUAUGGAGCUUUGUCGAACUGAGACUCGAGGUCGGCCGUAGGAGAAUAAGUGAAUAACCCUAUAAACGCGUUGCUUGUGGUAUCGGUGAUCAAUAAGUCUCAAAUAAUUAUCCAAAUUCAUAGUCCGAUGGUCGGGAUAUAUAACGUAAUUUCCAUCUAUCAGAAAAGGCUAGGCUGUCGGUAUAGUUUUACAAGUUAGUUAUUUACAGUUUCAAUUCUAGGGUUUGUCAGCUAUAUUUACAGAUCUACGAGGCCCGCACGUACACGUACAGCAGAUAGAUCUCGCGUCAUCAAGUUUCACUAGUAAUUGCCAUAAAAGUGGGGAUGAGUCGUAUAAAUUGCGCAGGCAUGCUAAGUAGGUAUGCUUAUUACCUCACUUACUAAAUAGGCAUUGCAGACUUUGGCCCUUAUCUGUCCCUUUCCAUCUCUAGUCCGGUGAGCGCAGGCUGCGCAGGCUGCGCAUGCAGCUCAACUUUAAUUUAUCUCAUAGCCGGCCGGUAGCCACUUGCAGCAGUUGGAGGCUACGAAAACGCGUCACGGUUGGCCCCUGGCUUUUAAGAUACAUGGUUGAAUGAGAUCAGAAAUUGUUUCACGGUGAUCGACCGUAUCUUCAGCGUUUGGCUUUGGCAUGCAUAUAUAAGCAAAUGCAGGUACUAACUACUCCAUAGAUGUUUCUCUCUCCAGAUCGUUCUUUAUAGCUAGUUUGCUAGUCAUUGAUGAUUGAGUAUUCAUUGCUGAAUUAUUUUUACCCACCCUCACCAAGUUUCAACCGUACAUGAUCUGUUUCAUUGGAGUAUAUACAUGCAGGAAAUUAAGGGUGUUCCUUAAUUAGCAUAUGAUUGUAAUUGUUUAUAAACUUUACAUAUGUUUCUAGCUCUUUUGGGGUUAUCAGUAUUAUCAGUAGUCUAUUAACUGGACUACUUUAGUUGAUAAUUAAGAUUCCUUGAUAAUCAUAUAUGGUACAUGCAUAUACAGUACAUAUACUACACGCAAAGCAAGCUACCUACGUUGGUAACGUGGUAUGAAUGUAUAGAAGGAACAAUGCUGGCCUGGGUACGGGUGCGACUAUAUAUCCAGAGACUCAGAGAGAAAAGCUAGGUGAGUAUUGUAAUGACCGAAUCGUACUAUGGAUACCAGCAUGCAUGAAUACACCGAUAUAUAACACCCUGACCAACUAUCAAAUUUUCCGACGAACGUAUUUUGGUUUUUGGUUUUUACUUUACUGACGGACGUAUCCAUGAAAAUAUGUAUAUGAAGGUUGCAUGACUGAUAAUUGAAGCUAGCAAUUAACAAAUCCAGUUAUUAAUGCCUUCUUUCUUUUCUUCACUAAUUCUGGAUGUAAAACCUAAAAUUAGCUCAUCAGUUCUUGUUUAUAUUAUGGGCCGGCGUUGAAGGAAUGCUAUACAAGCUAUAUAUGCAGCUAGCGUUACUGUUCAGUCGCAAGCACAAUAAUAACAGAAAAUGCAGGACCAGGCAACUCUGAAACUGAUCUUGAAGCUUGCUACUCAUGGCGGAGCCAAUGAAGAACCAGUGAAGGCCCGUGCUCCCAGAUAAAUAUUGAAUUUCAUUGGCUACUAUAUCCUAAUUCAUCGAUUAAAGGAGGAGGACGUACACCAAUCUUCCUCUUCCUCUACGUUGUUUGAACAAAUAGCUAGAAGAAACAAUAAUGGGAACAAGAAAAUACAGAACCGGCCUGAUCAUAAAGAUAUGCCGCAUUAUUCCAUCGAAGACGCCUAUGCAAACUUUUAUUACAUGGAAAUAGAAAUUUCUAGUUAUAUGCUGCCUUAAAUUCUUCAAAGAAAUUGAUAAUACUAUCUGCCAUGAAAUUUGCAGUAGUGUCUGUGCUUGUGGUUCUGCUUAUAGAUAAUUUGGUCUCCCUAUUAGCACCCUUAACAUUGUCGCUCUUGAGUGGAAAGAGCUCCAGAGUUUGAGUUUCUCUACUUUCUUCUUCUUCUUCUUCUUCUCCUUUGCAAAUAAUGGGUGCAGACAAUACCAUACCGCAAUCAUAAUCAUAAUAGUGAUGAAAGUCCAAGAGCUUUGUGUAACUUAAUGUAGCUGACGCGUUUGUGUCUGAGGUCGGUCUAGGUGAAUUCGAUUGUUCCACUAGUUGCCUGGAGGAAGUGCUUUGCACCAUGCUCAUCAUCCUCUCUUGCAGUACUGAAGAUGAUUCCUGAGGACGUAGUACAGCAACAAGUGAAACUCAUGCACAUGUGUAGUGUAAAUAUCCAUAUCACGCAUUCAAUUUAUUUCUUAAUUUUGUUGAGAUUUGGUUUGAUAAACCCUAGCUACCUGAUCAGAACGAACAGUGCAGUUUGGUAAUUUCCACUUAAUCUGCUGCUCAACUUCGAGACUUGAGUUUGUUAGUCCUGCGCGCAAGUAGCAGUUAAGUACAGUUACUCAGCCGUAGGUGACCUAAAGGAGUAAAGGUGGUGACCUCAACUAGUGUUGAGCCCUAGUUUUUUUUUUCUUUUUCAAGCCCUAGUCCCCCUAUUAACACAUACAAUGAUGUUAAUAAGAAAAUGAUGCUAAUUAAUUGGUACCUCCUGCAGAUUCUUUGUCUUGGAGACCGCUAAUUGUGUUGUUAGUCAAAGUUUGUUGUUGUUGUUUGGAGUCAGACUGAUACAUGGACAUCAGUUGACGGCGUCUCUUCUGCCUCUCCCUGGCUCGGUGGUUCUGAAACCAGUAGAAUACAUUCUUGCCUUCAAUCCUCCCAAAGUUUCGAAGCUGCGAAGUCACCUGUCGGAUUUGUUGGGCCGUCGGUGUCUUUAAGCCAGAUCGAUACAGCUCUUCCAGUGUCAUUAGUUGUUCCGGGGUUGGAUUCCAUCGGGAACCUCGCGAAGGAGCUGCAGCUGCCGGUUUUUUAUCAAUAUAAAAACAACCACGGCUGCUUCUGCUUGGCUGAGACGAUGUCACUCGAACCGCUGCAUACAUAUGAAUAUAAUUACUAUCACUAUGAUCACGUACCCACAAUAUAAUCAAAUCAUCAAAUUAGACUAGUUUGUGUGCAUACUCUGAUGAUGGUGGUGGUUGCACGGUAACACAGGGUUUUGCGUCGUGUUGGAAGUAGAGUGUAUGUUAGGGUCUGUACAACCACCGGUGCUACACUCCAUUGUCAUCCACAUCUGUAACUGAUAGAUAUUCAAACGAGAAUGGCUAUGCCGAGAAAGGGAAUGUUUAGGAUGACAAAGAGCAAAGAUGAGAAGGGGAUGAAGAGACUGAAUGAGGUACGGAUGUAUAUAUAGUCAUAGAGCUUGCUUCCUUUUUCAAUUCCCAAUUAACCAUGCAGGAAUAAUGGAAGAACACAAAAUAAAAGGAUGACAUUGAGCUUACGUAAACGAAGAGAGGGAAAUAAUGAUAGAAUUAAGUCUUCAUGUCUCACAUGCUCCCAUCCUCCUGACAAUUGCAUUUACUGUUCAACAAAACUUUGUCUGGACAAUAAAAUUUACAACCUUUUUUUUCCUAUUAUCCCCUUCAGUUUUUAUUUAAUUAUUUAUUUAUUAUGAAAUGCUUCACUAAAGUUUGUUUACUUAUGAAUUCUUCUAAAUUUUAGUUAUUGUAGCGUCUGAUAUAUGGAAAGGAUUCCUUAUUCCUUAAUUACAUAACAUUUCAGAUUACAGUUAAUUUCAAGUUUCUAUCAAACAAGCUAGUUUGAUCGACUCUGGUAAGCAAGCUAGCUAGUAAUUCCCAUGCAUCCAGAAAUAUACUGGAUAUAUAUGCAUGCAGAAUAUAUACACCAGAUUCCAGAUAUAUGUAGUAUAUAAAAGUAUGGUUUGAGAAUAAGUGCAGUACUGGAGCUAUAUAUAACGAUCUACGUAUAUAUAUGGUCUAUAUAUUUUGAAACUUUGCGUGUGCUUAUUGUUUUGUUGUAGCUAGCUUGGGGAUAUAGCUACUCAUGAGUCAUGACCAAGUCGUCACUGUAAUACAAAUGAUCGACGAUAGCAAGGAUUUUUCAUUCAAAUUGAUUUGUUGCUACGUAGUUGAUCAGUUAUAACGUAUGCACUUAGUUUAGAGAGAUACCAGUCGAACCCCCACCUAAACAUUUCCAGGUAUUGUCUGCAUCAGUAGUAAUUCUACCAUCAAUAAUAUCAUGACCACGCCGGCCUCCGCACCUUCGUCCGGCCCAGAUUAUGCAGACUUCGCCAUAACUUUUCUGUCGACUCUAGCUCGUGAGCUCAACAAGCACACUAUAGUUUUUUCGUUCUUAGUUCCUCCAAUUUAUUCUCAUUUACAUCUCUUGGUCGACGCUGGUCAGUACUCGAUCAGUAGUAGCCACCUCAGCUGUUGUUCCUCCUCUCUGACGUCUUUACAAAUUAUUCAGAUCAUUAUUGGACGUCAUUGGAUACUUGACGAUCGGAUGACAUCACCGCCAUGAAUUUUUGGCAAUUAUGGCCGACCAUCUCUAUGGUUUCAUUUGAAUGCUUACCUAGCUCCUCCCACUGUCUUUCUCCGAUUCGGUUAUCCGGUUUCUCCUUCUCUAAGCUUACAAUUCCUAAUCAGUAGAUGAAAACAAAUAUUGCUCGAUCUGUUCAAACAUCGUCAACAAGUUUAUACGGUGAUGCAUGGAUGCUUUUGUGGGAUUUGGUGAUUAUCAAAACGGAACUCAAACUAGUUUUCUUUUUUGGAGUAGUGUUAUUCAGAUCUUCUAUAGUAACUAGAAGUCUAGAACUUUAAAGUCAAACCGCAGAUUAAGGUCACUCAUGAACACAUGUAUCAAUCAUCGAUCUGUAGCGUUUAUUAGAGAAAUUAGUUACAUAAGAGUUAGUAUCAAAACCAUAAUCUCGCUCUGUAAUGUUUGGUUAAUUAGCCUUAUAAUAUUCGUCAAAAUUACUUGGAGAAAUCAAUACCAGUUCGUCUUCUUCUUCCUUAGUUUCCUUUAAUUUCGUGGUUUCUUCUACCUUUCGCUGUUUCACCAUGAAUUUUAGCACUACAUACGUAGGUCUGGCCACAGAAAUAAGAUCAAGUACAAAUCCUGGUUAGCUAGCUCGAUCAUAUAGCUCUAGAAGAUCUAGUAGAGAGCCCAUGAAUCAAGCUCGCCGCGACCAAUUAACUACUGACAGUAUAUGAUUUUUAAAAAUAUGGAAUGGUGCAUAUCCUAUCAUGCAGGACUUUUAAAUUCUGGAUUAAUCUGAUGUGGUACCUAGCUCGAUCGUGUCUGUCUUUUCUCAUCUUCUUCAAUGAAUCCGAGUUUCUUCUGGCUCUUCCUUAAAUCUGAGAAUCUGAGAAGAGAAAUUUUCAACUUAAAUGUCUGCAUCGGAUCCAUUCCGUCCCCGCGAAUGCAAUAACGCAGAGCACAUGUUAGCUGCAUUCUUCAUCCUGAUCCAACUUAGCACAUUGAUCCUUACAUUCAUUUAGAUUGAGUUAAUAAAUAGUGUAGUUCAUGACCCUCCGGAUUGGAUUCGAUCUGGUUUGAUUUAUUCAGUAUUCACUGUUUGUUCUUCUCUUUUUUUCAGUACGUUUUCUUCCCAGAAUCCUAGAAGUUACCCUCACCCAUCUAGUAAGCCUAACACUAGAACAUAUAUAUGACAGGAACUGGGAAGACAGAUACUUCCAUUUGCAAUUCCUUUCAGAGCCAUUCAUUUUUAGUCUGGUCAAUGUUGCAAAGGAGCUUUAAGAAUGAUCAAUUAAGUUACAGUACCUUGACUACCUUCCAUUGUUCCAUGAUAACUGAAAUGGUAGAAGUUUGCACUUGCAUAUGUAAAAACAAUGUAAUUCUGAGGAACAAAAUCAACACCUUAUAAUUAUAUAGCUGCAUAGCUAACUUAUACGCAGCUACAUUUCGUUCUCCCUUGCUUCUCAAUUGGAUUUACAAAUAAUAUGGCAAUAUGUGAGGCAAAAGAAUCAUGAUUAGGAAUAUGGAAUGAGUCGAUUCCCGAUGCAGACAUCUAGGUAAUCUUUUCUUUUUCUUUCCUAAAUCAAGUUUUUUGGUUACUAAUGAUUGACUAUAGAACGCAUGGAUUAAUACAUUGAUAAUUAACUACUCGAGAAGCUUAUUGCAGGUGCCAACACCUACAGCUGCAGCAAGAUGCCAUGCAGCAUGAAGGUAUGGAGUUUUGGGAAACACAUCAUCUGCAAUAAAAAGUACACCACCCAGUAAUGACGACAGCUUAUGUACAUUAUGUGCCAUCUUUAGCUCUGGAUCUUUUAAUGCUCUUUUGGCAAACGCUACCUGCAGGAAACAAUAUAGUUAACAUAAUUUUUUCAGGUAAUUAAGCUCUUUUUUUUUCUUUUUCUUUUUGGUUACAGCAAGGUAAGAAAGUUCAAUAAGCAGUCCACUAAGACAAUGCGAGUUUGCAGCUUUGUUUGGUGGGCAAAGGCCCAUAUAGAGUAGACCACAGUAGUUUCAGUUUAAGUUUCUCAACCUCAAACUGGGGUCAAUUUGAAUGGCGCUACUUUGCCACAGGUUUUUAUCAUCCCUGCUGGAGUACAUGUUAAAACUAUUGAAUUUGGUGUACUUCACUACACUAUAAUCUCAUAGACCAAAGGGAUUCCAUAUGUCUGCUGUUUUGUACAUAAAAGAGAUACUAAAAUGAAUCAUUUACAGAACCUAGAUAUCCAACAAACCCUUGGAAUGAUUCAUGAUUUCUAACAGAACAGUUUCAAACAAAGAGAUAAAAGAAGGAAGUAGAAAUUAAAAACUUGAUGAGAAGUAGUGGUCAAAGUACAGCAAGUUACCUCCAUCAUUCCAGUAUGAACAGCUGAAACCAUCAGAGGCUGGAUAGGGAGAAAUACCGCAGAAGCUGCCAUGAGGAAUUUUGAGUUUUCAUUUCUGAGGGCUCUUGAGAGGCACUGCAAAAAUAUAAUGCCCAAGUGUGCAAAGUGAUUAACUUUAAAAGAAAGAAUCAUAGAGCUAACCAAGUUGUGUCGGAAGAUAUUCCCUGAAUUAAAAUCAUUUUAAAAAUAUAUGUAUUAAAGAUCAUACUAGAUUAGGCUGUACAGAAUCUGUAAUUGGAAUCAGGUUUCUUUGUUAUCCAUGAUAAGUAGUCAAUGUGCAGAAAAUUCUUUCUAUACCGACAAAGCAAAAACGAUGCCAAAGACGAGUUUGAAGGAUUUUCUCCAACUUACCACUGUUGCUGUAGCUAUCAUUGUAUAGUCAGCCCAUCUCAAAUAUUUCCUUAGUUUUCCUCUAGAAGAAUGAUAUAAACUUGAGGCAACACCAACUCCAAUUAAUGAAUUAGCAUAUAGCUUGGUGUUUAGAUUCUUCCUGUUUCCCAAGGUAAACAUUAGGUAUGAUGUAUAUAAGAUCACUUUUAUGUCCAUCAAGUAAGUCUUACAUAAAAGUAUCACCUUGGGGCUUGGAUCCCAAGAACUAUGAAAGGAAGUGAAGUGAGCACAUUAACAGCUCUUUCUGCAAGGUCACGAUCACCUAAGAAUAUAGAAAGAACAGAAACAUUGUUCAGAACUGUUCUUUUUAUUCAGGAGAUUGAAUGCAAGGCAACAUAUAUCCAGAAACACACUUAGUUUCCAAUACCGUGAAUGCAACCCUGGAUAGGCUUCAAAAAUGGUGGUGCUUGCUGCCAUACUCGCCUGGAAAACAUGUAGACAGAGUUAAUUGUAGUGGAUUGCUUGCAUGUUGUACAGGGUAUAAUUGAAUUGGUAAAUGACCGACUCCAAAACUGUGGAAAUGCAUAGCCACUAUUUUAACUAUUUUUUUUUUUUGGUACAACUAUUUUAACUAAAUUAUUUCACCACAUAAUACUGGCUUUUCUAUGGAAAUUACUCAUCAAUUAGGUUUAUCACUCACUGCAUAGACAAACUUGUUCCAAUAGCCAAACUUGUACAAGUUGAGUGAGCAAAGUCCCCAUCUUGAGUAGUCUCUUCUGAUUCGAACCGUGAAGAAGGCACAAUAUGUACCCCAUGCACGCCCGCUAGGGCUCUACUAGGAUUCAAUGUACUCUGGGGACUCAUAAAUUUUUCAAAAGUAAGCCAAAGUGACUUUAUUGCCAGCAAAAAUUUGCUGGCAACAGCUGGAAGAGGUGUGCUGAAGGCGAGCCAAUGUAUUGCUUGUAAUUGUACCACUGCAAAACACAGCAAUAUGUCUAUGAAUUAAGAGCGCAUCACCCUGUUGAGAGAAUCCACUGAAUUUCAACUUAACCAUGCACUGAAAAAACACAAUAAUGACAUUCUUUAUCCAAUAAGCAAAUAAUUUGUUAUCCAGUUCUAGUUUAUUGUGGGUUCUGGGAUGGUCUUCAAUUACAAUCCAUGAAAAGGGGAACAAGAAUAACACUGGCCUGCAAUCAACAAACAGUUCGGACUUCAACUAGCCCUCUCCUACGGCAUGGAUUGGAAGAGACUCACACAUUACCAGCUUUUAAGUAUGCAAUAAACUCAAGUCAGCAUCUAGGCAUUCAAAAUUGAAAAUUUAUGGCUAUAUACUUUAAAUUGUAGACCAAAACGCAUUUUUUAAGUAUGACAGAAGCUAAAGUUUUUUACUUAAGCAUGUAAUCAGACAAAAUUGAACAUUAAUCUCAAUUUCUAUAUAAGAUCAAUGACAAAGUAUAUGUAUAAGAUCAAUGACAAAGUAUAGUACUUUAUCAAAAAGUGUCGGCAUAUUCAAUUACUACAAGCAAAGGAAACUCAUUCAAUGUAAUCCAGUAACAAUGUGAAUCUCUUUGGAAGAAAGAAAAAAAAAAAAAAAAAAACAACACCACACCUUGGGGCUACAUGAAGUUGGCACAUCAAAGCUAAAAUUUUUGAUUCUAAUACUUAACAACCAUACCAAAAUCUCAAAUUUUAGAAAUGUAGAUGUAUUGAGCAAAAACCCAGAACCCAACCAAACUGGAAGAUCCAGAACCAGAACCUAAGUUUGAUUCUUCAUCAACAUCAAACAUGCAUUUCAUCAUUAACAAACAACAGUCCGACCCAAAUUGAAUCCAUAGUAUGGUUCUUAAUCAUCAGAUACAGAGCAACAUUGAUUCACACUGAAAAACACAACAUAAUUCUGAAACAUAGAAAGAGAGACAAAAGAACUUACCUGGAAGAUGUGGCGGAUUGGUAAACCUGAGAGGAAAGGGUCGGGCUGUAAUGGAUAUUUAGGGGCAGAGUCUCUCCGGAGUCUUAAUACUCCGGAGCACCGUAGAAACUUUUGUCUAUAAAUAGAGGAAAGGAGAGAUAGAGAAACAGAGGAUGAAAGGGUCGGUUUAUUUCAGUUUAGAGAAACUAGAAUCUGGGGAGAGAUGCGCAUGAAUCACGAAUGUUCCUCAUAUGGUGCGAACGCAUAUUCCAAUUCGUAUCCAAAUGUGCCAUAAGUGACCAACAGUCGUAGCUUAAAGGCGUGUGUGGACAAGUCCAAGUUUGCAAUGUUGUCUUCUUUGUCUUUUAACCCUCUCUAUUCUCCACCAUUGGUGUGAAUUCCACUGUUACAGAGGGCUCCAAUCAUCUUCCAGUUCCAACCCCAUGUGUACAUACCCUGUUUAUUAUUGGUUCUAAUUUGUUUUCAUUUUUGACAGAACAGGAAAGUGUGAGAUUCGCAUAUAGUUAGAUACUUUUCUGUUCCUCUGCAUAAACGUUGCAACAAAUUCAGGGGCUACAUCAUAAAUAUCAUGCUUAGAUUUUGAGGUCAUCAUCAUCGUUACAUCUUAAAGAGUUUUGAUUUUUUUAGUAACCGGUAUAGGUUAAAGCCACGACAAGUUUCAUACAUCUAUAAAUUUAUAAAUAUUUAAGCAAUAUUAGAAGAAAGUGCAUUGAAAUUCUUGAGGUCCAUCACUUGGGGAAAACUUCUAAAAAAAAUCAUGUUUUACUAAUAGUGUGAUAAAAAGAUGGUUCAUUUUACAUGUUUUGACAUACCAUGGCAAUAAGCUUGAAGGAGACUAGGAGAGAUUGCAAAUCAAUGACCAGGAGAAAAGAAAUAUGGGUUGCAAAUGUAGAGCAGGAAACUAUAGAUUGGGCUCAAUGAACUGGUCUGUAGGCCCAUUGGGCCUCAGGCGAGGAGACUGUUCGCACUAUACACUAUACAGGCCAGAAUGAAGUACAGAGCAGUCAUUUCAGCCAGUGAUUUUAAGGACAAGUCCUAUCAGAUCAAAAGAAGCAUCUCAUGUCGACAUGCUGCUUUGACUCCAUUAUAGUUUAUUAGUCUAAUUUAUUAAAUUUACAACAUUUGACUAUGGACUUCUCAGUCUUGACUUGAGUAGUAGAGCCCCUACUGAUCGAUUUAGCUGUCAUUCCCAAACUGUCAUUACCAUCUUGGCUGUGCUGCUCAACAUCUUCUUCUUGUGCGGUUCUGCCUAGCUACUCAUCAUGACUCUGAAAUCCGAAUGAUUAAUGUUACGAUAAGAUAUCGCCCGGACCCCAAUCAUGAUUCAUCAUUAUACCUCAAACUCAAACUUACUAAUUACUACCCUGUUGAGUAACUGAUCGGAAAACUGUAAAUGUGAAACUAGAUAGAGUUGCAUUUCUGUGUGAGGCUAUUGUCAUUGACAACUAUAAUCUAUUACAUAUUUACAUCCAAAAUGUGAGAUCUUUCCUGAUCGAUAUAGUCGCAUUCAUCUUCAUCGUUCAUCCUCUCAUAUUCAUCGUCAUACAUUAUAUCAAACCAUUUACGAGUACUUGCAACGAAUGAACACAUUUAAAUCAUAACUUUGUUAGUAAUUGAGCUAUUCGAUUUCGUGUUGCACCAAAAACAACACAAGAAUUCAAAUCCAAUAUUAAGUGCUAAUUAUUAAACCAAACUAAUUGGUUGCCAAACGAGUCCUAAUUAAUGACAGACAAAUUGAAAAGAAUUGGUGUCCAAUUAAGGCAUUGGUACAUACCAAAUCGAAUGGAUGACUCAACUUAUUAUAGAUAUAUAAAGGUUACUCCAUAUGAUCGAGGGUAUAUAUGUAUGCAUACUUAAAUGAGGACACACGAUUGUAACUCAUAGUUGGACGGGACCAUAGCAAAUAUUCCCUAGCUAAAAAGAAGUUGCACGCUGUGACAAUUAAGCAAAAGGGUGUUUACCUACGACCACCACCAUCAAGUUUGUUUAGCAAAACUCCAUUUUUACAUAGCUACCAAUUCCAUGUUUGAUUAUAUAUACGUGUUCCGGGGACAACGGCUAUUAAUACUGGACAGAGUCCCACACCCUAAGCCUCCCCAACUCCAAAGUCUCCAAGAAAGCUCACAAAAACCAAACAGAUACCGAAGAGCAAAACCAGAUUAGAAAAACAAGCUGGUGCACAGUCCAAAGCUUCGAUCAGAGAAGCAGCGCAAAUAAGAAAAUAGAAGAAGGUUCCAGGAAUCAAGGGUCAAGUUAUGUCAUGUGCCGAGACCCACCAGACAAGGAAUUGAAGAUGCACCAACAGAGAUAACAUCAAAACCUUUCAUAUCAAUCCUCUCUUCCUCUCUUGCUCUUGCUUCUCUAGCUUGCUAGCUAUCCAGUUCUUGCUUCUCUAGCUUGCUAGCUAUCCAGUUCUUGCUUCAGUACUCGACCUUUGUUUUUUCCAGUGAGUCACACCCACCCCACUGCACAGUGUGAGCGUCAAGGCUUUUAUGGUUUUCUCUUCGCUUGGUGCUACUAUUCUCCACGAGCAAUGAGAUCAGCUACAGAAGGUCUUAUUUUGUUGCUGUGGAUCGUCUUAAUUCUUGCUCAAACGACAACUUCCGUUUCUGUUGCUCAUAGUAGUAUUUCUGGUCACGAGUCGACAACUACUGGCCGGUUGUUAAUUAGUACUAAUUCUCCGCCGAGAAAAGCACGUGUUCACGGCAAAGUCUGGUUCCAUGCACCGUCGAGUACUCCAUCUCGUGAUUUUUUUGCCGGCGUCUACGGCGAAGACAAAAGAUUAGUUCAUACAGGUCCGAAUCCGCUUCACAACUAGUGAAAAUAAUGCUUGCUGCGUGGGGCAUAUCGGUAACUGCUGCUGCUGCUGCUGUAGCUGUGUAUUCUCAAGUGAAAAACGACUGUAAUAUCUUCCUGUUGUCGACCUCCAUUUUUACUUUAAUUUUUUCGGGUCCAUUUUGUACGUUCUUUGAAUUUUUGAAUUAGGUAGAGAGAAGAAAGAAUGAGAGCAUGGCUUUAGCCUUUUCAGUAAGGUUUGAUGUAGGGGAUGGGCGGUGUAGGAAAUUACGAGAGCUGGGAAUGGUAAAUUGGGGGAUGUGAUAUCGAGGGGCUAGUGUAAAUGCUCUUGUUUCUUUUUUGCAGUCAUAGUUAUUAUAUGCAUGUUCUUACUUUUUUUCUGUACCUUCUGUUCAAAAAAUUCAUUGUAGUCUGAAUUAAUUGCUCUCUUCAUAAAUUCCUAGCUUCUUCAUCUACCCUCUUCGAUCUGCAUUAUUGCCAGUACGUUCUUCACCCUCCGGAAUACAGAGGCGCGCUUCUGGAAUUAGGGUUUCGGAUCGGUUUCUUUCUCUAACUCUGUUUCCAACGAUUCAAAUCUUCCGAGCUUCAGCAUUGCGCAUUGCGCAGAUAAACUGAAAUGUACAUUCAGAUUUAACUCAUUAGGUUUGUUGAAUCACUGGAUUAGUUAUUAGGGUUUCCUAUAUAGCAAGUCUUACUGUAUUGGCCAAAAUGCGACCAUACACUCAAUCAAUGCUGUUCUCCAUGAUUGGGCUUCACUAAGAUGUAAUCAGACCUAGCUGUUCGAUUAGCUAGAUCUAAUCACCCAGCAAUGAUUCAACGACUGGUUAUUUUCCACGUGGGAAAUCAUCAGCAUAAGGAUCGAUGGAGAUGGCUUUUGUGAAAGGGCACUGGAACUAGCUAGAUAAUCGAUCGGCUUUGAAUAUUGGCUGGGUGUGUGGGACUAUAUUCAUUCAUAUUUGGAUUUGAUUGUUCCCAGAAGUCCUAUCUGUAUUUUGACUUCAAUGCGUUUGCCUUGUUGUUUUUUUCGCUCAAAGAGGAUGCCUGUCUGUCUCUACUGUCUCCAUGGGUAAACACGCUUCCUCAAGAUUUAGGAUCCUAUUUUCCCAACCAUAUUAAUGCUGCUGAAACAAAUUUCCAUGGAUGAGCAGUACUCAUCCAGUAUAGUACUCAUCGGGGCUCUCCCUUUUCUUUUUUACUACAUCGACAUGGUACGUAUAUUUUUUUAUUUUUAAUUUACUGACAAGGAUUAAGCGCGAUAUCAGCUCCUCUAUAGUAAUUUGGCAGAGUAUCCACUCUACCCGAAAUGGACCGCUACAAACCGGGAACCCGUCCCUUAUUAGAUUUUUAUUUAUAAAAAAAACAUGGUACGUACAUGAGGCACUGUUCGUUUUACUCCUCGUUUUUCAUGAACCUUGAUAUGCAACACAACAGGAAAAACACCAGACACCAUAAUCGAAUCUUCAUGCUUAGAUGUUCUAGCUUAUUCAUCGAUUCUGUACGUGAGAAGAAGAACCACUCAUAUGCUAGAUAUAUAAUAUGACUUGUGCUCUCAAAGUUGUCAAUGCUACCUGUAUAUGGACAAAACAAAGUUCAAACUCUCAAGGUUAGAUCAACAAUUAGACAAAUCUGAUUAGAAACUUCCUUGGAAUGAGUUGUGUAAACAAAGUUUGGUGAAUCCCAUAAAAAUUGAUUAAAAUGACACUAACCAAAUAUAUAUAUAUAUAUAUUGUCUAGAGAACAGAAAAGAUAUUUCUUCUAGUCCAUGCUUUUGGAUUAGUUCAAAAAUCAAAGCACAAAAGAUUCUGCUGAUUGAGAAGAAAAAAUGUCGAGCUUAUCAUUUUGCGGAUCAUUUUGAUCGAGCAAGGUGCAGGUGUUGUUUUCCCUGUGAGAUGAAUGUUUGCUUGGAAUCAUUCAUAAAUGUGUGAGUUAAUAAAAGAGGGAAGGUCUGGUGGAAAAUGCAACUACCUCAUCCCUCUCCUACGUCAAGUCCCAUAAAACCUGUUUAUUGCUUCUACCCACCCCAGGAUUCUGCAUUAGUUCUAUUGCUAGCUAGCUGGUUUUUUCAGAUUUUUAUUUUUGCUUUUUCUAAUUUUAAAUUUGUUUGGUUCCUCAACAUCUUCAUUGAUGAAUCAUUAACGAUCGUCAUCUCUUAUAACUAAUGUGGAACCCAUGACAAAUAGAAGGUUUAAUGGUUACACGCUGGUAUUGACAAGUAGAAGACAAUGCCAAGUUUGAGCCUAGUAAUUUUAAUCCUUCCAAUUUGUUUUUUCUUAAUCUCAAUCUACGACAUAUUCUCGAUCAGGAUCGAUGACACAAACAUAAAUUUGAAACAAAGCUUCCUUCGCUAAUGGAGAUAUUCUCCAGAAACUUCAAUUGUCGAGAUGUUAGAGAACCUCGAUCAUAGUCGGCAGGCAAAAGGAGAGAAUUACCAGAGUAUAUCUUCGGGAGAGAAUAUGUCAUUGUCUCGAUCAAUAUCCACAAUGCAAUUCACUCAUUAGAAUACAUCAUUUGCCCCAUAUAUAUAAAUUUCAGUGAAUUCGAAAGGCAUUAAUGUCAUGAAUGUAGCUGGGUCUCAUUCAUCAUCAUGUAUACAACCAGACGACAGGCUGGGGGUUGAUUUGAACGAUUGAUAAUAUCCUACAAAGUGGUCAUAUCUGAUAUUCUGGAAACCAGAUCGAAUUUCUUAAUUCAAUCCUCGAUCGAUCAGUAAGUAAACAAUUAAAACAUCAAAGGAUUUUUCAUUGUUAAGGUUAAGGGUUUGCAAGCAGAAGUUCGGUGAACACACAGAGAUAUUUAGGAGCUGAUUUUUAUACCAACAAAAAGAUUGCAUCGAGUAGUUUCAUACUUUCAUUUAACAUGUUGAUGUUUUUCUUGGUCAGAGAGUCAGAGCCAAGUAGCUGCACACUGAUAUUAUAAUGCAGUAGCAAACAAAUGGGAUUAAAUAUGAAUCUAUGGAAGGAGGGAAAGACAUACUGGCCUUGGGAGUCAUAAAUUGCUUCCAUUGAUUGACCAAAACAAUGCAGGUUAAGUUUCUUUGAUUCUUUUGUUCGAGGAAAAAAAAUAUACAUGUUUUCUCUAACAACUUUACAAUUGGUAUCAGCUGCAUGGGCAUUUGCUCCCCUUAAUAAUCAAGCAUAUAAGUAACAAUUGCUCAAUUAUAGGUGUGGAAAAAGGAGAGGAAUAUAUAACUUCGGUUUUGUGUUUGACACAGUUGAUCUGAAGUUCUGAACUGGCAGAAUGAACCUGUGUUUUAAGUCUCUUAUUUUCAUUCAUAUUGAUCUCGAUCAAUCUCAAUGGAAUGCUUAUUAUCGAUCAGCUUUUCUUUUGCUUUGUUUCUGAUUUAGUAUUGUAUCCUUCUUAACGUACAUAGAACUAAAAGAACAUCUAAUUACUGCUUAUAAUAAUCAUCCAAAAUAAUAGAACAACAUAUUAGUACUUUUUCUUUUGUUGGCUAUCAAAACACUUGCACAUCAUAUAUUGACUUCUGUAUCUUUGAAGGCUUUAACCACUAAAAACAGUACGCCUGCACAGCAGCUGCACUCAUUUGAAUCUUGAGUCUUGACCACAAUGUGCAGUUUAAUUAUAAAGAACUAGCUUCUCAUAUGCGCAAUUAUAAUAUGGUAGAUUGAAUAAUAAAAGAAAACCCUGAGCUAAAGACGGAGCCAUCCUUUUAGACUUCACUUCAUAUUAGGUUAUUAGUAGUAUAAUUUGACAGGUCUAGCUAUGAACAAGUUCUUGCUGAUCUAGCUAGAGUUUUUCGGUUAUCAUUGUGAAAGAAUAAAUUAGUCACAAACACAAUGCUUCGGCUUGAUUUGCACGAAAAAAGUUCUUCUGCCAGCUUUACUCUAGUUGAAAUUUCCUGUAACAUAAUGCAAUAUAUGUACAAAUCUCCUCAGCAACUUAUGUACCAAUCUCUGAAUAGAAUAUGCCAAAGAUACAUUUUAUGACAAGUUCACAAAAUCUGAGAACCAUUUAUCGUGAAAUAAUUCAUACUUGAACUAAAAUGUAGAUUAGGAAUGUCACAUUGUGAGAUGUAUCACUGCCUCUUGGGUUAGUAUAGUAUUAUAGACUCCAACUUCAUACGAAUUUGGAUAUCUCAGACAGAUAUAACCCUGCCUCUUGGGUCAAUGACUUUGCUUCCCCUGGUAUCACAGUGAACAAAAGAUGGUGAAUAAUCAUGAUGAUGGGGAAUUAGAGACAUCUCAAUGUUGGGGCAACUUCACAUACGAUCAGCAAUAGAUCUCAGAUAGUUGAUCCCAGUAGGCACAUCACUUAUUAUCAGCUCAUUGGUGAUUCUGCAAUCACACCUCAAGAUUAAGAGAAAAUGGAGCAAGAACACUGUGAAGUUGAUCUAAAACACAUCUCUCUACUCCUUGACAUUUCCGGUUAUCAUUGUCCCUUGUGAUCACCAAAAGUUGUUGCAAGAACACUCACCAUUUCUAAAAUGAUGAAAACGGAUUUUAUCUCUCAUGAUAAUCUCCCUUUUGGUUGCUUUAGAGACAAAUUUACAGAAACUGUGGCAGUCAUCACAUAUCCGUAAGUUCUUCACCACUCUAAUUGAGCAUUCAGGCUGUAGACUUAGAAGACUAAAUGCAAUGGCAAGCUUUUCACUGUGAUGACUGAGUGUGGCUUCCUUUUCCUCUGUUCCCACAUCAUGGAACACAGAGUUGGUAUUAGGAGUAUAACCUAUAUUCUUCACCUGUCUUAAUAGAUCCUCCAACUUUUCAUAUAUUUUUGAUGAUUCUGGACGGAAUCUGUUACCACCAAAGAAUAUAUGGAUUUUUCCAUUAAAUUCUACAGAGCUAUAGGCAGCUACUUUCUUAGCACCUCUUUUUCUCAUUUUGAGCCUCACCUUAUCAACACAGUCCCACCUUCCAGCAGCCGCGUACAUGUUUGACAUCAAGACAUGAUAUGAACCAUUAGCAGGAUCUAAUUCAAAAAGCACAUCAGCUACAUGCUGACCCAGUUCAACAUUUUGGUGGACUGCACACGCACCCAAUAAGGCUCCCCACACCCCAGAAUCCGGUUCAAUUGGCAUACUUCUUAUGAAGUUAUAAGCCUCCUCAAGAUGUCCUGACCGACCAAGGAGAUCAACCAUACAAGCAUAGUGCUCUAUUUUCGGUUGAAUAUUCUUGUCACCGGAUUGAACCAUGCGCUUAAAAUAAGCCCUGCCUUCAUUCACCAGCCCAGCAUGGCUGCAUGCAGAUAAAACUCCCAGAUAUGUAACAUGGUUGGGCGCAACUCCACGCUCUUGCAUCCUCGAAAACAUAUCCAACGCCUUCCGGCUCUCCCCAUUCAUGGCAUACCCCAACACCAUAGUGCUCCAGGAAAUAACAUUUCUCCGAGACAUAUCCUCAAACAAAGCCUCAGCCAUGUCUACACUACCGCAUUUGACAUACAUAUCAAGCCGCGCAUUGGCAACAAUCACAUUGCAACCAAUCCCACAUUGUCUCAUAAUCCCAUAUAUUUCCUCCCCAGUCUCCAAACACCCCAACUGCCCACAAGCCGAAAAAGCACUCACAAUUGUAACAGCGUCAAGCUUCACUCCCGCCACACGCAUCCUGCGAAACAAAUCAAGAGCCUCGGCAGCAUGUCCACUCUGCACGCACGCAGCAACAAAAGCAUUCCAAGCAACUAAAUCCCUCUCAACCAUACUUCCAAAUAAAAACCGCGCCAAUCCCAACUCUCUAUUUCUCACACACAUUACCACCAUCUCCGUCCUCACUUCCGCCACAAACUCCAACCCAUAUUUCACCGCAUGCGCCGCAACCGCCAGCCCCGCCCACGGCAGAAGCUGAGCACACGCCUUAACUACAAAAGUGUACGUAAACUCGUCCGGACGGACACCUAGUCUAUGCAUUCUCCUAUACACCGCCGCCGCCUCGAUAAAGUCUCCAUCUUUCACAUAAGCCUUGAUCAUCGUGUUCCAUAGAAAUACUCUCGGCUUGUGCAUUUCGUCGAACACCUUGCGUGCAUAGGAAGUUUCCCCCAGGGCUAUGAAGCUGGUGAUGAGACGCGUGAGGAGGCUGUUCUUGACGGAGAUUCCGGUGGUGAGAAUCACGGCGUGGAGUUGCUUCAGCUGGUCUGGGUGUGACGAGCAUGACUCCAACUGCGCCGUGAAGGCUUGUUUGGUAAUCGUCACAGGAACCGGGUCGGGUUUCCGGGUCAAGUUCAAAUCCAAUUCAGCUCGAGAAGAGAACCGUGAAAUUCGGUUCCGCCAGAUCAUGCAGUGUCUUCUGGUAACUUGCAUUUGGGGGGACUCUUCCAGAUUUUUCAGAAGGGAGGAUGAGUAAAACGCUGUCGUUUUGCAUCGGCAGAUUUCAGAUAUUUUACCGGGAGAAUUGAAAGCAACGUGACUGGGGGGUGUUUAGGUAAUUUCGUAAGCGGCUGGGUAAAUUGGUCUCAGCCAAAGGAAAGGCUGGUCCAGUCCUGCUCCAGUCAUGGCUGCCCAAUCGCCGCGCGGGUGGUCAUGGAGUUCAUCCACCUACUCCACCACCGCUGCCAAGUGCUCUUCUUCCACCUCGUCGAAUCUCUCUUCGUUUUAUAUAAAACGACGUCGCUUCACCGCUUGCUCUUCCUCUUCUAAAUCUUCCGGUAGCUCCGGCGAGAAACCCGGGCCGAAAAAGCCGGCGAAAUUGGAUUUUACAGCCCCCGGUCCAACCGCAUUAGUGAAAGUCUCAAAGGGAAAGGGAUCCACAAGUGAAAAGACGAUUACAGCCCUGAGCUUCAAGCCUGGGAAGCGAUCUCUAUGGAAGAGGAUAUUCUUCGCCUCCAAGAAAGUUAGGAGCAUUCUUCUGCUGAAUGUGAUCACUGUAGUCUAUGGUAAAAGCUUAUUCGUUUUUUUUUUUUUUCAUAAUCAAGUUAAUUAUUUCGAGCUCAAAUUUGGAGUAUUUAAAGUUAAGAUGACAGUGGCUAAUGUUGUUUGUAGCAAGUAACUUCUCGAUUGUGAAAGAGGUGGAGUCUGUGAUCGACCCGGCGGCGUUUACGGUGGUGCGGUUUGCUAUGUCAGCUGUCCCAUUCAUCCCAUUUGUCAUCCGAGCAAGAGGUGAUGUGGAAACUCGUAAUGCAGGGAUUGAGUUGGGGUUCUGGGUUAGUUUAGGGUAUCUUAUGCAGGCAUUGGGACUGCUAACAUCGGAUGCUGGUCGCGCGUCGUUUCUUUCUAUGUUCACUGUGAGUGUUUUGCAUUAUGUUUGUAGGCAAUGUGUGUUAAAAGAUUGUUGUUUUGGGAGUACCUGAAGGUACUUGUUGGUAUAUUUUGGGUGAAUUUAACAGGUGAUUAUCGUUCCCUUGCUUGAUGGUAUGUUAGGAGCAAUAGUCCCUGCUCGUGUCUGGUUUGGUGCCUUCAUGUCUAUUGUAGGAGUUGGGCUGCUGGAGUCCAGUGGAUCUCCCCCUAGUGUAAGUUCUAUUACUCUUCUUAAGAUUGUAUAAGUGUAAUGCUGAUGAUAAUAAAGUGCAGAGGACCAAGUUGGGUUUUCUCUGUGGCCUGUUUAGAGAUCAGAAUCUUAUAAUUUCUGGUGAUCUUAUGUUCCUAGUUUGCAUAUAGGGUGCCGACUCAGAUAUAAGUAUGUUUCGUUUCAUAGAACUAGAAUAUAGACUUCUGGAUACUGACCACUUAAUUGCAAUAAAACAUUGGUUCUGUAAUUCUGAUUACACCUGCAUGAGUCAAGUACAGUUUCAAGUGCCAAAACAAUAUCCACUUCUGGUGAUAAGAUUAACCUAUUCAAUAACUAGUGAAAUGGGAAACAGCAUUGUCGAUAGUGAGUUACAGCUCUCUUGGCUUAAAAGGAGAGAAAACUCUCCAUAUGUGUGUGUAAACAUGUAAAUAUAAUUUAUUUAUCAAAUGUAUGCAGGUUGGAGAUUUGCUGAACUUCUUGAGCGCGGUGUUUUUUGGGGUUCAUAUGCUUAGAACAGAGCAUAUAUCAAGAAACACAAAGAAAGAAAACUUCUUGCCUCUGCUUGGAUAUGAGGUUAGUAUAUCAUUUUCGCCCAUGUAGUUAGUAUAUCUUCUUUGAUGCUCUGCAAGACUGCAACUAACCUUGGUUUCAUUUAGAUAUGCGUUGUUGCUUUCUUAUCAACAAUAUGGUACGUCAUUGGGGCAUGGUCUGGUGGUGGCCUCCACGACUUUAACCCAUCAUUGUGGACAUGGGAGAUGUUCAGGGAGUGGAUGGUUGUGUUUCCAUGGAUACCUGCACUGUACACAGGCAUAUUCUCCACUGUUUUAUGCUUAUGGGUAGAGGUAUGUGCAAAUGCUCUACUCUAAGACUGAAUAAUUUGUUCUCACAUUGCUCAAGUUGCUUGGGAAGUUGUUGGGAUACUUGCUUAUCUACAUUACAAUAAUAUAUGAAUUGUAGUGGUGCCAUGAAUUUUCUAGCAUUAUGAAAUUUCAAACACCCCUUUUUCAGCUCAGUUUUUUAACAGAAGAUUAUAUUUAACAGAUGGCCGCAAUGUGUGACGUAUCAGCCACAGAAACAGCAAUAAUUUAUGGUUUGGAACCUGUCUGGGGUGCUGGUUUUGCAUGGUUUCUCCUUGGCGAAAGAUGGGGUUCUACUGGCUGGAUUGGUGCUGCUCUUGUGCUUGGUAAAUUACUAUUGAUUUUCAUGAUCUAGUCAGCUUAAGAUACAAAAUAUCUUCAAAUUUUUUCAUUUGUUUACCAUCAAUUAUCUUUGUUAUUAGAUUACCAAAGUAAUAAAAGUGCUUCAGGUAGAAUUGCUGUCAGCAGCGAAGGACUAUUGAUCUACUACUAAAUGACAUAUUACAUCAGCUGUUAACCUUUUUAUCACUUUGUAUGGUAGAAAACUUCUGUUGCUUAUACUAGUAAUAAAAAGGAAGAGUAAUUUUUGCAUCAUAUUAACGCAUACUACACAUGCUUGGUUCUUGUUUCUCUGCAGGUGGAAGCUUAACAGUUCAGAUAUUUGGAUCAACAUCUCCCGCGGAGCCUUCAAAAGAUGAAUUGAAAGCUAAGAGACUCACUUUCCCAGUGGUUUCAGAUAAACACAAUGGCUUGUCUGCCUCACCCGUUGUAGUGAGUUCCAGAAAGGAUACACCUGAUCUGCGGAAUAAGUAAUUAACUAAGCCAUUUCUUAUGUCAGCUUCGCCUAUUCUCAGUUUUAGAUAAACAGACCACGCUCUCUAACGACAAUUCUGUUGUCACAUCACUCUCCUUGUAAUUAUGUAGCUUAUAAUCUGAAUCUCGAUUUAGGAUAGCUAAGUAAUGGAGCUUGAGGGCUCUCAGCUUUGUAUAGUUGUAUGUAGGGAGAGCUUCCAAUGAGGAUCUUAUAAUGAGGACCAAGUGAGGACUUUUAAAUGAAUGGUUGGAUGAUAUGCACAUGAGAAUUAGAAAAUAUCAAUUAAAAGUCAAAACCUUGAUCCAACCGUUCAUUUAAAAGUCCUCACUUGGUCCUUAUUAUAAGGUCCUCAUUGGAAGCUCUCCCGUUGUAUGUAUACCAGCAAUUAUUCCACAAUAAUAUGAACUCCAUUCACAAUAUACUAGUGUAGGUAUCAUCAUUUAUUACCGUAAGAAACACCCGACUGUAUGUCGUUCGGAAUACACUGAUUCAAAUUAAGAAGAAAGAAAUACACUAAUUCAUCUUUAUAUUCAGUACUCAACCUUGGCUAACAAAGGCGUACCUACACACAAGCUACGGUGGACUACAGCCCACCGCAGAAUUUGAUAAAACAUUGUUUUGUUGCAUAAUUAUAGUUAAAAAAAAAAAGUUAAAUUAUGAAAACAAGCCCACUCUAUACUUAGUCUAUAUGUAAUUAAACUUAGUUCAUAUGACAUUUUUUUUUGAAUUAAAUUCAGUUUACCCCCAUGAGGUUUGGGAGUAACUUUAUAUUAAUCCCUAUACUUUCAAUUUCAUCAGUUUACCCCUCAAACUUUUGAAUUUCCCUUAACCGUGACCAAUGUCUCAUCUUCUGUCCAAAUCAGACGUUAAUUGCUGACGUGGACCCAAUCUCAUGAGUUAAAUUAUGUUUGUACCCGAAGCUUAGAAAAUUUUCAACUUAGUUAGGGAUAAAAAGGAAUGAUUUUUUAAUUUUUUUUUCACUAGUUUUUUUGUUAAAUGACAAUUUUAAUCUUAACAAUGGGGCUCGUAUCUAGAAUUAACGAUCAAUUCAAACAAAAUAUAAGAAUUUGGUCACGACAGACAAAAAUUCAAGAGUUCAGGGGGUAAACUGAUGAAAUUAAAAGUGUAGGGAUUAACAUGAAGUUACCCUCAAACCAUAAGAGGGUAAACUGAAUUUUUUUAUCUGAUUACAUAUAUAUUAUUUAUUUUAUUAAAAGCAGUUGCUCCUUUUGUAUAUUUUGGGUCAACUUUCUUCUCUUUAUUUCUUUUUCUUUGUCGUUGUAUACGUCUCCAUUCUCUUCUGCCGAAACAGCUAAGCCAAGUGUCAAACUUUCUCUCUUUAAUCUUCAUGUAUGGUUCUUAGUUAUAUUGAUCAUCCUCUUAAAGUCUUGUACGUGUGAUAUGACCUAGUUCUCAAAUCUCAAUUGAUUAAUGCCUUGAUCAAAUUUAGUCUCAAUAUCCCAUCAUCUCAAAUCUCAAUUGAUUAAUGUCUUGAUCAAAUUUAGUCCCAAUAUCCCAUUAUCUCAAAUCUCAAUUGAUUAAUCCCUUGAUAGUCCCAAUAUCUCAUCAGGACUGUCUUUCUAUUGAUAAUCUAAUUCUAAUCUCAAUUAUUGUAUAUGACUAAUGCUAAUGAUGUGAUAUAUAUAGAUAUAUAGUUGUAAUCAGGGCCCUUCCACUAAGGGAUCUCUUAUUAUGACUUAUAUGAGGGAUUGAGCAUUAGCCCAACUUUUUGAUCACAUAUCAACAUCUCCACCAUUCAACCUCUAGGUAUAUAUGAGUAGAUCAUUUUUGAAAAUUUUCAGCCAAAUUGGUGAUCUUUAAGGCUUCAAACUGGCUUAAAUCAAUGGACUGUUCAAAUCUGUCAAUCAUGAACCGUUCAUGAAAAUUGCAGUUUUGAGCACCUUAACGAUCAUCAAUUUAGAUGAAAUUUUGCAGAAGUGAUCUACAUAUUAGGACCUAAAAACUGAAUGGUUAAGAUUGAAAAAUGUGAUCGAAAAGUUAGUCUAAUGCUCAAUCCCUCAUAUAAGUCAUAAUAAGGGAUCCCUUAGUGGAAGGGCCAUGUAGUUGUAAUAGUACCAACAUUUGAUUCAUAGUUAUUAGAAUAUGUUAUCCCGUCGAGUUAGGUUUAAGGAUUAUAUACUCAUUUACUGUAUUGUUAGAGCGGUGUAAGUAUGUUCUUUUGUCUUUAACUUUUGUUAUCGAAUUUUUAUAAAAUGUUAUAAUAUUGAUUUCUUAAUUAUCAGUUAACUAUGUCAUUUUUUUGAUAUGUUUUUAAUUUAAGAUGUGAUAUGUAGAAUAUAAAAAAAAAAAAUUUAAACUCACCCCAACCUAAUAUCUUAGACAGGGCUGCUCACCUGCGAGACACAAUUUAAGGGAAAAAAGGGGCGAAUCGAUCUCAGCCGUUGGAUCUUUAAUGAAUAUAUCUUACGGUUAUCAAGGAAACACGAUCUCAUGCCAAUUAUCUUUUGUUCAUCUUCUUCCCUCAUCUCACCUCUUCGCAAACUUAGCAACCCAUAUCUUUUCAUCUUCUUCUCUCAUCUCAGGAUUUCUCAACAUCCCAUACGUGGGUUCUUAGAAGCCUCACAUAUUCUUUUCUAAUACGAGUGGUGUAACUUGAAAUCAACAUGUAAAAAAGAACCGUGAGGAUGCUCUUUAUAUAUGCUAAAUUCGAAUAAGAAAGGGAGAAAUUAAUUUGAAGAUAGACAAAUCCCAUGAAAUAGAGGAUGUGCUUUCGUCCGCCCGUUGUGCCUGGAUUCAAACCCAAGAUACAAUCUUCUUCGAAUUUGUCGAGUCUCUUAUUUCUCAUACAAUUGGAACAGAGCAUAUGUGUGUAUAUUUUUAAGAGCAUAUAACAUGGUUAAAAAGAAAUUUCUGAGAGGAGAAGAAUGAAAUAGAAUUGGGUUUAGAGAUAUAUGAGAGGAGAAGAGUAUGAACUGAUCUGGGUAUGGCUUAGAGAGGUGAGAGGUGAGAGGCGAGAGAUGAGAGGAGAGGAAACAUGGAUCUGCAGAAGUUGAAUAACAACAAUUCGAUUGGAUGGUGGCUGCCAUGAGAACCGUAGGAUGUGUUCAUUAAAGAUCCAACGGCUGAGGUUGAUUCAUCCCUUUUUGUCCCUUAAAUUGUGUCCCGCAGGUGAGCAGCCCUGAUAUCCUAGGUCCGCCAUUGUUGGCCAACAUAUUGCUGCUAAGUAUUCGUCUUCUAGUUCCAUUUCCACGCCUAAAAUCCGUCUCCAACAUGAUCAUCUCUAUCAAAUUGGUACUUAAUCUUGGCCAACACGAUCAGGUUCUGCUGCAAAAUGUUCGUCUUCUAGUUCCAUUUUCAAACCUUUCUUAAUUUCGUGUUGCCUUGUUUCAAAUAGUUGACUCUAUCAACUUGAUUAAUAUCAAUUUGGAUACACACCCUACGCCUUAACAUAAUCUAAAUAGUUAUUUAUUAAGAAUGUACGUAGGAGACUUGUUGGAUUUGCUCUAACCGAUCGAAUCAAAGUUCUUGUUGAUCGAAUGAGGAUGAGUCUGUAGCAAAUCGAUUUUCACGAGUAAGACAUCACUCUCAGAUGAUUUUCUUGUCAUGCAAUCUCACAUACAGUUGCCUGCAGUCAUUAUCUUUUAGUUUCAAUAAUACAAUUUAAGAGACGGUACGUAUGGGAGUUGGCGAUGAUUUCUUAAAAACAACAAAAUAAUGCAAUAAUAUCAAAAAAUAAUUAGAUUAUCCAACAGUGAACAUGUCAGUAUUACGAUCAUCUCGCACUCUGCAGUGUUAACAAUUUUCAAUUGAAAAAAGGGAGAUUGAUUGUUGCUGAGAUAUGAUAAGACCAAUGAUAAGAUCUGAUUUAUUGAGACCAUGUGAAGCAUUACAUGUUUUUCAGAAGGUAAAUCAUAUACAAUACCUAAUAAUUUAGCUGAAACUGUAGUGGAAUUAAUAUAUUAAUGUUCUCUAAGUUCUUGCCCUAUUAUAUAUAGCACACAAGAUUGGUACGUUGUAUACCGCGAUCAUAUGAACUUAGGGUUCUGAUCAGUAGUAAAAAUAUCAAUCAAAAAGUACCGAUCGAUAAUCAAACAUGUCUCUUCAAGGUAAGGUGGAAGCUGAAUUUGAAAUCACAGCACCUGCUGACAAGUUCUACAACAUUUUCAAGAUUGAGGCUCACCUAGUCCCAAACACUUCUCAAACUGGCAGUAUAACUGGAGUUGCAGUGCAUGAAGGAGACUGGGAAACUGACGGGUCUAUUAAGAUUUGGAACUAUGCAAUAGGUAAGCCAUUAUAUGCGUAAUUGUUCGAUCUGUUAUUAGACUGUACAUGACCAAAGCUGCCUCUGAAAAAUUAGGUAGGUGAUGUAGAGGUUUUCAGUUAUAAUUGUUUUACAGUGAUUUUAACUCUCUUGUUAAUAUAGAGGGCGAAGUGGGAACAUUCAAGGAGAGGGUGGAGUUAGACGAGGUGAACAAGACCAUAACUCUGAAUGGAUUGGAAGGAGAUGUGUUUCAGUAUUACAAGAGCUUCAAGCCUAUCUAUCAGUUCACUCAAAAGGAUGAGGGCAGCAGCAUUGCCAAAGUGUCCAUUGAAUAUGAGAAGCUGAGUGAGGAGGUUGCAGCUCCAGAUAAGUACAUCCGCUUGAUGACUAACAUCGUCAAGGAUCUUGAUGCCCACUUCGUCAAGGCCUAAAGAAGGAAUAAUUAGCAUGCAAUACGAAAGCUAUAGCUCUCGCUAUUGCUACUGCAUGCUGGUUUUGUAAAAUUAAAAACAAAUAAUCAUCUAGUACUGUUGUGGUGUUCUAAUUUUGAUGCUAAGUAUAUAUCACCAUUGNGAUGAAUAAAUGUGUGAACGGUGAUAUUGAUAUGUAUAUGGUAUAUGUAUNNNNNNNNNNNNNNNNNNNNNNNNNNNNNNNNNNNNNNNNNNNNNNNNNNNNNNNNNNNNNNNNNNNNNNNNNNNNNNNNNNNNNNNNNNNNNNNNNNNNNNNNNNNNNNNNNNNNNNNNNNNNNNNNNNNNNNNNNNNNNNNNNNNNNNNNNNNNNNNNNNNNNNNNNNNNNNNNNNNNNNNNNNNNNNNNNNNNNNNNNNNNNNNNNNNNNNNNNNNNNNNNNNNNNNNNNNNNNNNNNNNNNNNNNNNNNNNNNNNNNNNNNNNNNNNNNNNNNNNNNNNNNNNNNNNNNNNNNNNNNNNNNNNNNNNNNNNNNNNNNNNNNNNNNNNNNNNNNNNNNNNNNNNNNNNNNNNNNNNNNNUAUUCAUCAUGUUGCGACCAAGACUAACUAUAUAGCUCAUACAGCAGCAGGCAACAUUUUCAUGAUAAGAAACGUCCAUUUGUAUACUUCAAAAAAAAAACGUCCAUUUGUAAUCUAACUAAUGUUCGAUGUCAACCAUAUUAUUGUUGGCAGCUACCAAACAAACUAUUUUGAUCGGUCUACAUAUAAAUGGAGCUGGCUGUGAAGUAGCCAAAUGAUUCCCUUUACAUGCGAGCAUGCCUGGCCAAAAUACUGGAUCUACUGUGAGCACAGAUGAGUAGCUUGGAGAUUCAUUCUCGGAGAUCGAUCAUUCAGUGUGGACGCUUAUCUAUGCCGGCCUCUACUAGCAAACAUAACACGUGAAGACACUAAUAGUUCUAGAUUUGGUAGGGUUUAGACGCUUAGAGCCUAUCUGGGGUGGUUUCGCAUGUUUCGCUUACCCAUCCCACAUGCAUUUACAAUAUUGGUGAGAUUUGGAUUCAUCAUUUCUACGAUAUUAGUUAAAUUAGAAAACAAUUACGCCGCAGCUCACAGACAAUUAAUUACGUUAUAGUUGAAUACUUGAAUUAGAAAGAGUUUGUAUGUAGCUACAUAUCAUGAAGAGUAAGUAAACCAUCACUCUUAAGAGAUUUUCUUGUCUGUCAUAUAAUCUAACAGCUGUCUGGCGUAUGUUAUUAAUUAUCUUAUUUUUAUUUCAAUAAUACAAUUAAAAAAGGGUAAAUAUGGGAGUUGGUGAUGACUUAUGAUUCUAAAAACAACGAAGUAACCAAUUAGAAUAUCUAAAAGAAAUAUAUAAAAUUAAAAAUUAUAAAAAAAGCUAGCCUUUAAGAUACCGUGAACUAAUCUAAAAAGUGCGNNNNNNNNNNNNNNNNNNNNAAUCAUAUGAUAAUAUCAAUAAUAGGAGGACCAUGUGAAGCGCAUGUUUACUGAAAUGAAAUUAAUAGUACCUAAUAAUUUAGCUGAAAGCGUAGUGGAAUUGAUCGACGUUAUCUGAUAGUUCUGCCUUCUGCCCCCUAUUAUAUAUAGCAAACAAGAUGGGUAGCUUAUCGGCAUAUCGCGAUCAUAUACUUUGGGUUCUGAUCAGUAUCAUAUCGAUCACAUCACAGAGUACCGAAAAUCAAACAUGUCUCUUCAAGGUAAGUUAGAGACUGAAUUUGAAAUCACAGCACCUGCUGACAAGUUCUACAACAUCUUCAAGAGUGAGGCUCACCACAUCCCUAACACUUCUCAAACCGGCACCAUAACUGGAGUUGCGGUGCAUGAAGGAGACUGGGAAACUGAAGGAUCUAUCAAGAUUUGGAGUUAUUCAAUAGGUAAGCCAUUAUGUACGUAAAUGUUCAAUCUGUUAUAUAUAAGACUGUUAAUUUUAACCAUAUAUUAACCAAAGCAGCUGGUUCUGAAUCACUCGACAGGUUGAGAUAUCAGGAACGGUUGAGAUUUUCAGUUAUAAUUAUUGUUACAGUGAUUAUUUUCGUGUUUAUAUAUAGAG